AGUGAACGCUGGCGGUAGGCCUAACACAUGCCAGUCGAACGGCAGCACAGUAAGAGCUUGCUCUUACGGGUGGCGAGUGGCGGGCGGGUGAGGAAUACAUCGGAAUCUACUUUUUCGUGGGGGAUAACGUAGGGAAACUUACGCUAAUACCGCAUACGACCUACGGGUGGAAGCAGGGGAUCUUCGGACCUUGCGCGAUUGAAUGAGCCGAUGUCGGAUUAGCUAGUUGGCGGGGUAAAGGCCCACCAAGGCGACGAUCCGUAGCUGGUCUGAGAGGAUGAUCAGCCACACUGGAACUGAGACACGGUCCAGACUCCUACGGGAGGCAGCAGUGGGGAAUAUUGGACAAUGGGCGCAAGCCUGAUCCAGCCAUACCGCGUGGGUGAAGAAGGCCUUCGGGUUGUAAAGCCCUUUUGUUGGGAAAGAAAAGCAGCAGGUUAAUACCCCGCUGUUCCGACGGUACCCAAAGAAUAAGCACCGGCUAACUUCGUG
rnacentral:rRNA from 1 species